rnacentral:tRNA from 1 species
CCAUCGGUGGUUCAGUGGUAGAAUGUACGCGUGCGGCCCGGGUUCGAUUCCCGGCCGAUGCA